GAUGAACGCUGGCGGCGUGCCUAAUACAUGCAAGUCGAGCGAACAGAUGAGGAGCUUGCUCCUCUGACGUUAGCGGCGGACGGGUGAGUAACACGUGGAUAACCUACCUAUAAGACUGGGAUAACUUCGGGAAACCGGAGCUAAUACCGGAUAAUAUAUUGAACCGCAUGGUUCAAUAGUGAAAGACGGUUUUGCUGUCACUUAUAGAUGGAUCCGCGCCGCAUUAACUAGUUGGUAAGGUAACGGCUUACCAAGGCAACGAUGCGUAGCCGACCUGAGAGGGUGAUCGGCCACACUGGAACUGAGACACGGUCCAGACUCCUACGGGAGGCAGCAGUAGGGAAUCUUCCGCAAUGGGCGAAAGCCUGACGGAGCAACGCCGCGUGAGUGAUGAAGGUCUUCGGAUCGUAAAACUCUGUUAUUAGGGAAGAACAAAUGUGUAAGUAACUAUGCACGUCUUGACGGUACCUAAUCAGAAAGCCACGGCUAACUACGUG
rnacentral:rRNA from 1 species